CCUACGGGUGGCAGCAGUGGGGAAUAUUGGACAAUGGGCGAAAGCCUGAUCCAGCCAUGCCGCGUGUGUGAAGAAGGCCUUCGGGUUGUAAAGCACUUUCAGUGGGGAAGAAAGCCUUGGGGCUAAUACCCUCGAGGAAGGACAUCACCCACAGAAGAAGCACCGGCUAACUCCGUGCCAGCAGCCGCGGUAAUACGGAGGGUGCGAGCGUUAAUCGGAAUUACUGGGCGUAAAGCGCGCGUAGGCGGUCUGAUAAGCCGGUUGUGAAAGCCCCGGGCGCAACCUGGGAACGGCAUCCGGAACUGUCAGGCUAGAGUGCAGGAGAGGAAGGUAGAAUUCCCGGUGUAGCGGUGAAAUGCGUAGAGAUCGGGAGGAAUACCAGUGGCGAAGGCGGCCUUCUGGACUGACACUGACGCUGAGGUGCGAAAGCGUGGGUAGCAAACAGGAUUAGAUACCCCUGUAGUC
rnacentral:rRNA from 1 species